rnacentral:rRNA from 1 species
UGGGGAAUUUUGGACAAUGGAGGAAACUCUGAUCCAGCAAUUCCGUGUGUGUGAAGAAGGUUUUAGGACUGUAAAACACUUUUAGUAGGGAAGAAAAAAAUGACGGUACCUACAGAAGAAGCAACGGCUAAAUACGUGCCAGCAGCCGCGGUAAUACGUAUGUUGCGAGCGUUAUCCGGAAUUAUUGGGCUUAAAGGGCAUCUAGGCGGUAAGACAAGUUGAAGGUGAAAACCUGUGGCUCAACCAUAGGCUUGCCUACAAAACUGUUGAACUAGAGUACUGGAAAGGUGGGUGGAACUACACGGGUAGAGGUGAAAUUCGUAGAUAUGUGUAGGAAUGCCGAUGAUGAAGAUAACUCACUGGACAGAAACUGACGCUGAAGUGCGAAAGCUAGGGGAGCAAACAGG